rnacentral:misc_RNA from 1 species
AAGUCGUAACAAGGUCUCCGUAGGUGAACCUGCGGAGGGAUCAUUACUGAGUGAGGGCCCUCGUGGUCCGACCUCCAACCCAUUGUUGUCCGACUCUGUUGCCUCGGGGGCGACCCGGCGCUUCGGCGCCCGGGGGUCCCCGCUGGUCCACACAACUCUGCAUCUUUGCGUCUGAGUAAACAUUAAAUGAAACAAAA